rnacentral:rRNA from 1 species
AGCUGAUCCUGCUGGCGGGUACUGCUAUUGGAUUUUCACUAAGACAUGCAAGUUCAAAAGUCAUGCAAUUGGCUUUAGCGAACGGCUCAGUAACACGUAGAUAAUCUAACUUCAAGAGGAGUUAAGCCCGGGAAACUGGGUAUAAUGCUCCAUAGGUAAAACGAACUGGAAUGUUGUUUUACUCAAAUGAAAAAUCUUUUGCGAUGUAUCGCUUGAAGAUGAGUCUGCGGCAGAUUAGGUUGUUGGCGGGGUAAAGGCCCACCAAGCCGAAGAUCUGUACGGGCCUUGAGAGAGGUAGCCCGGAGAAGGGAACUGAGAUAAGGUCCCUAGCCCUACGGGGUGCAGCAGUUAGGAAACCUUUACAAUGCACGAAAGUGUGAUAGGGAGAAUCCAAGUGCCUAGCAUUUAAUGUUAGGCUUUUGCCAAGUAUAAACAGCUUGGCGAAUAAAUGGAGGGUAAGACACGUGCCAGCCGCCGCGGUAAUACGUGCUCCAUAAGUGGUACCCACUAAUAUUGGGCCUAAAGCAUCCGUAGCCUGUUUAUUAAGUCUUUGGUGAAAUCAGUUAGCCUAACUAAUUGAAUUGCCAAAGAUACUGCUAGACUCGAGGCCGGGAGAGGUUAAGGGAAUUUCUAAGGUAGGAGUGAAAUCCAGUAAUCUUAGAAGGACCACCAGUAGCGAAGGCGCUUAACCAGAACGGACCUGACGGUGAGGGAUGAAAGCCAGGGGAGCGACCCGGAUUAGAUACCCGGUUAGUCCUGGCCGUAAACGAUGUGGACUAGGUGUUCCAUUACCUACGGGGUACUGGAGUGCCGAAGCGAAGGCAUUAAGUCUACCGCCUGGGGAGUAUAAUCGCAAGGUUGAAACUUAAUGGAAUUGGCGGGAGCUCACAACAAGGGGUGGAUGCUGCGGUUCAAUUGGAUGCAACGCCAGAAAUCUCACCAGGGCUGACAGUGGAAUGACGGACAGUCUGAAGGGCUUUCCCAACGCACUGAAAGGUAUUGUAUGGCCAUCUCCAGCUCGUACUAUGAAGCGUCCUGUUAACUCAGGUAACGGGCGAGACCCACAUUCUUAGUUGCUAUCUUUUUCAUCUGAAGAAGAGCACUCUAAGAAGACUGCUAAGUUAACUUAGAGGAAGGGGUGGGCUACGGUAGGUCAGUAUGGUCCUAAUGUCCUUGGGCUACACGCGGCAUACAAUGGCUGUGACAAUGGGCUCCGACACCGAAAGGUGAAGGUAAUCUCUUAAACACAGUCUAAGUUCGGACUGAGGGUUGGAACCCACCCUCAUGAACGCUUGGAAUCCCCAGUAAUCGUGUGUCAUCAUCGCACGGUGAAUACGUCCCUGAGCUUUGCACACACCGCCCAUCAAGCCAGCUGAGUGGGGUUUAGAUGAGGUUCCAUCUUAUUGGUGGUUUCGAUUCUGAGCUCUGCAAGGGGGGCUAAGUUGUAACAAGGUG